rnacentral:tRNA from 1 species
AAGGCUUUAAGUUAAAUAAACUAAUAGCCUUCAAAGCUAUAAAUAUAGGAAUUACCCUCUAAGCUUUA